rnacentral:precursor_RNA from 1 species
UCGGCCCCCUUCGUCCACGUUCUAGAAAGUUUGUGACACUGGCGACGUGGAACCGUGGCACUGGAGGCC